AUAAUAGUAAUAACAAUAAUUAUUAUUAUUAAUGAUUUUGAAUAAUGAUGAUCACAAUUAUUGUAAUAAAUAAUGAUAAUAAUCAACUACGUUCAUUUUUAUAAUUUGCAACUAUUCAUUUUGGUUCUAAGACAAACUAAAUACAUCAAUAUAAAUAUAGCUCAUUCCGAUUUCGAAUCCUAAAGCUUAAGUAAACAAUUUAUUUUUUUUUUUCCAUUCAUUCUGAUUCCAACCUAUUUUUAUUCUAGUCUAUUUUGAUUCCAGCAAUUUCUGAUUAUUGAAUAGUAAACAUAAUUAGUAUUAUAGAUUUUAAGUUACAGUUGCCUAACCACAAUACCAAAUAGUCGUAAAUGGAGCUACAAUAUUAGGCAAGUGGCUGGUGAUUAAUGGAAAUUCAUUAUCCAUGAAAUGACCAUGAAUGCUUAUUUCCAGAGUGGCAAAGCCAUUUGUGUCACAAUUUUUUAGUUAAUUGAGUGACUUACUCAAAUUAUAAUUUUUUACUUAACUAUAUUACAAGGAGCUACGCAAGUCCAAGCGAGCACCCAAAUCCAAUAGCAAGUAUGAGGAAUAUGGAUGGGCACAUGCAAGCGGCCAUGCAAAUCAUGCAUGAGGCAUGCAUCACGUGGAUGUAUGUCUUUUAAGUGAGAAUAUUAGAGUUGACUCCCUCAAGGACUCUUCAAGGAUGCAACGAGGGGGGUUUACCACGUCAAGCCGUUAUUGAUUUGGUGGAGAAUUCAUGUUUAAAGAUGUUUCCUUUAAGAUUGUUAUUUGCUUCGAAUUUAUAGCUAAGUAGUUUAUUCGAUAUCAAUUACUUCAUCUCAUUAGCUUUGUUUAAGCCUUCUUUAACGGUUACAAAGCAAAGUAGUUAGCUAUGUAUGAAACUAUAAAUAAACUCCAAUAUCUCAAUAAAAGGAGAGCAUACUUUUAUCCAAUGCUAUUAGCAAUUGUGGUAGUUCUCACCCUAAGAAGAACAAAUUAUUUACGUGUUAUUUCCUACUAAUUCUGACUAGGACCUAUCACUAUAUAGUAUUGAUAUAUACACAGAGAGAGAGAGAGUCAACUUUCAAUCCAAAAAUUCUAGAUAUUAAUAAAGUUUGAAACACAUUUACAACAUGGUAGAAGUUGUUUACAAGGAAAACUUUUGUGUGUUUGUGUAGUGCUUUUCCAAUAAGGUUCCUGCACUUCUAUUAAAGUGCAAAAUAGAUUUACAACAUUGUGCAAACUCAUCGACAACACUGUAAAAUCUUAUAAAGUACAGAGAUCCUUGCUUGAUAAUUUAUAUAUUUAUAUAUAAAGAUGAUCUAUUGAGCACCUAGAAUCAUGGCAGAAUUUUGUGACUUCUUAUGAAUAGUGUCAAACUAUUGAUUAACCAUACAAUGCCAAGUGGUACUGUUGGUCAUCUUAUAGUGAGCACACUAUAUGGUGAGCACUUGGACAUAUGGUAAAAUUUUGUAACUCCCUGUGAAUAGAUAAAACUAUUGAUUAACCCCGACAAUACCAUGUGGUACUAUUGAUCACCUUCUGGUGAGUACCGUCGCCUACUAGAUCAUUGCUAUAUAUAUAUAUUUUCCAUUGAGGGAGUAUAUUUUUCACUGAGGGUUCCUACACUUUAUUAAAGUACGGGAAAGCUAUUAUUAGAGUUGGCAAAAGUCGGAUCCAAACUCGGAGUAGGUGCAUUCGGAUCUGAAUCUACAUU
rnacentral:lncRNA from 1 species